ACGCUCGACACCUACGAGGCAGCAGUGAGGAAUAUUGGUCAAUGGACGCAAGUCUGAACCAGCCAUGCCGCGUGCAGGAUGACGGCUCUAUGAGUUGUAAACUGCUUUUGUACGAGGGUAAACGCAGAUACGUGUAUCUGUCUGAAAGUAUCGUACGAAUAAGGAUCGGCUAACUCCGUGCCAACAGCCGCGGUAAUCUGAGCGGGCUGGCAAGGC
rnacentral:rRNA from 1 species